rnacentral:rRNA from 1 species
UACAGAGGUCCCGAGCGUUGUUCGGAUUCAUUGGGCGUAAAGGGUGCGUAGGCGGCGGGGCAAGUCUGAUGUGAAAUCCCGGGGCUCAACCCCGGAACUGCAUUGGAUACUGCCUUGCUCGAGUACUGGAGAGGGAACUGGAAUUUACGGUGUAGCAGUGAAAUGCGUAGAGAUCGUAAGGAAGGCCAGUGGCGAAGGCGAGCUGCUGGACCUCUUCUGACGCUGAGGCGCGAAAGCCAGGGGAGCAAACGGG